GAAGGAAUAGUUUACUAGGAAUCCUUGAGACCGGCGCACGGGUGCGUAACACGUAUGCAACUUACCCUUUACUGGGGCAUAGCUCAGAGAAAUCUGAAUUAAUUCCCCAUAAUAAUAUUGGAUCGCAUGAUUUGAUAUUUAAAGCUCAGGCGGUAAAGGAUAGGCAUGCGUUGUAUUAGCUAGUUGGUGAGGUAAUGGCUCACCAAGGCUACGAUACAUAGGGGUUCUGAGAGGAUGAUCCCCCACACUGGUACUGAGACACGGACCAGACUCCUACGGGAGGCAGCAGUAGGGAAUAUUGGUCAAUGGACGCAAGUCUGAACCAGCCAUGCCGCGUGCAGGAUGACGGCCCUCUGGGUUGUAAACUGCUUUUAUAUGGGAAGAAACCCCGGGAUGCGUUCCGGGCUGACGGUACCAUACGAAUAAGGAUCGGCUAACUUCGUGCCAGCAGCCGCGGUAAGACGAAGGAUCCAAGCGUUGUCCGGAUUUACUGGGUUUAAAGGGUGCGUAGGCGGAUGCUUAAGCCAGUGGUGAAAUCUCUCAGCUCAACUGAGAAACUGCCAUUGGAACUGGGCAUCUUGAAUUCGAUUGAGGUAGAUGGAAUAUAACAUGUAGCGGUGAAAUGCUUAGAUAUGUUAUGGAACACCGAUUGCGAAGGCAGUCUACUAAGUCGAUAUUGACGCUGAGGCACGAAAGCGUGGG
rnacentral:rRNA from 1 species